AGAGCGAACGCUGGCGGCAGGCCUAACACAUGCAAGUCGAACGGACCCUUCGGGGUUAGUGGCGGACGGGUGAGUAACACGUGGGAACGUGCCUUUUGGUUCGGAAUAGCUCCUGGAAACGGGUGGUAAUGCCGAAUGUGCCCUUCGGGGGAAAGAUUUAUCGCCAUUAGAGCGGCCCGCGUCUGAUUAGCUAGUUGGUAAGGUAAUGGCUUACCAAGGCGACGAUCAGUAGCUGGUCUGAGAGGAUGACCAGACCACAUGGGACUGAGACACGGCCAACCUACCUACGGGAGGCAGACAGUAGGGAAGUCUUGCGCAAGUGGGACGGAAGCCUGAACGGCACGGACCAUAGCCGCGUAGAAUGAUACGGUAAAGGUUACGUUAAGGUAUUUAAGUUAAAA
rnacentral:rRNA from 1 species